AAAUCGGCGGUUCAUCGAGGAGGAGGCGCGCCGCGAGUUUGAGGUCUUUCCCUGCGGCCCCCACGGGGAUUUCGGCCCCGACAUGUUCUUCGCCCCCGAUUGCUUCAUGCCGCCAUCGCAUGCGCCCAUGCCGAUGCACCCGUUCCCGCACGCGCCGCCGCCGGUGCCUUUCGAGGAGUUCGGGGCCUGGCAGGGGUUUGGGCGUCGCCGGAGCACGGGGUUUGGGGGAAAGGAUACCGGUCCUCUGUGACUCUGAGGAUAGGAGGUUGUCUCCGCCGCGGCCAAAUCUGGAGCACAAGCUCAAGCUGCUUGAGCUGGAGCUGCCGGGAGACCCGAGUUAUUUUCCAGAUCGCUUAGUUGUACGCGGGCGGCGCUCACGAUUUCUUGGUCUCCGGCGCCGGCGCCGGCUCUUGGUCGUCGGCAGCUGCGGCGUGAGCUCUUGUUCCUCCUCAGCAGUGCGGCCGGAUUGUACCUUUGAGAUGGCACGAUUCAGGCUGCUUACGGCUAUCGAAGAGCUGUGUUAGAUAUGUGAUGAAAUGGUGCUGCACAGGAUGUCGAUUCUAAUAACAGAAGCUAAGCAAGCCAAUUCAGCAUCAUCAUCAUCAUAUGGCUGCAUGUGUAUAUCUUGUCAGGACAUGCCAUCUCAGCAAACAAGUGCAGACUCAACCCUCUUCUGAACAUAUCAUCAGUUAGUGCUCUCCCUGUGAACACCUCCAGGCUCCAGCAGAGUGAUCCUAAAGCUAGAAAGAAGCGGCGCCGGCGACCUGAGGCGCCUGUCCCCGGCGGCGGCCACCGACCGAUUGAUUGCUCCGCCUCCCAAUUUCACAGGCGGAGCUCAGCUCAUGGGACUGCGAAUCCUAUAGACGAUGGAUGCUGCCAAGAGAUUCUCCAGUGGUCAAAUUCUACGUACUUCACAUUGACGGCUUUGGGUUCCCCUGGGGAAAACCAAGGACAAAGCAGCGUCGGUGGAAGCGUUAAGGGAGCUUAAAGAUAUUCAUGCCGACGGUUGAUACUGCUAACUAGGCUCCGGGUAAUAAAAACGGAGGGAGUACUAGUAUUUUACUAGGUUACAUGUGAGACUAUGUUUGACCCAGCCAUUCGGGGCUUUAUUUUAUAAGGCCGGGUGCCCCUUCCCUUACUGACAAGCUCUAUAGGAAUCAUCGCUAAAAAGGAAAUCAGUUACAUGGAAACGCACCUAACUGGAACCUCAAAUUUGUACAUAUGCUGAGUUUUUUUAAAGCAAUAGUUCUUGCUAGUCAUUUUGGACAAUAUGCUGAGUUGAUUCGUGAGAACAUUUCAUUUCUAUUACAGAGAUCUCUUUUCCUACUGGUGGGGAAAACAAAUGUGAGGUCAUUUUUCUUUUUUAGAUACAACCAUUGUUGCAAUUUACAGCAUAAAAAACUAUAGGUCUAGUUUGUUAUGGUUUGUAUUUGAAUAAAACGAUGCAUCCAAUUCAUCCCUCAAGUCUAUAUCUCACCCGUAUCGAUUCCAACUAGAAUCACCAACGCGCGAGCGAACCAGGCCAGCCCAUCAGGGCUGUUGCUCGUGCCGCUCG